AAUUCUGAUGUAGAUAUCCUCUGUCGGCUCAUUUAGACUGUUUACAUGCUGCUUUAUUGCUGAACUCACAGUCAGACCUUCAGAAGAACACAUGGAUCAGUUGUGACUAUCUACCUCUGCGUCUUCCUGCAACAUUGCCUUCCAUACUUAUUCAGUAACAGGUUUGACUGAAUCUUUCUCUGUGUCUCAGAUGAGGAGGAUGUGAAGCUCAGGAUUGGUCAACACAUCGUCUACACAUCAAUCUACAGACAAACAUCACAUUUGAAUAAAGAUUUAAUGAUGAAAACCUGAUCAAUGUGUCAAUGUUGUGCCCACUGGUGGAUGAUUUGUGUAUCUGCAUGAAAACAGCAAGAGGACAGAAAGUGAAGAGUGUGUAAUCCUGCAGCUGUAGAGCAGUUUAAGAUCAAGCCUCAUUAAAAACACCUGAAGCUGCUAAUCAAUCAAGCUCAUCAGCACUGAUAGAAAUCUCCUGACUCAACUCUUUUCUUUAUUCAAGUAAAAAUGAAGAUGAA